rnacentral:rRNA from 1 species
GGACGAAAGUCUGACGGAGCAACGCCGCGUGAGUGAUGAAGGUUUUCGGAUCGUAAAGCUCUGUUGUUAGGGAAGAACAAGUGCGAGAGUAACUGCUCGCACCUUGACGGUACCUAACCAGAAAGCCCCGGCUAACUACGUGCCAGCAGCCGCGGUAAUACGUAGGGGGCGAGCGUUGUCCGGAAUUAUUGGGCGUAAAGCGCGCGCAGGCGGUCCUUUAAGUCUGAUGUGAAAGCCCACGGCUUAACCGUGGAGGGUCAUUGGAAACUGGAGGACUUGAGUACAGAAGAGGAGAGUGGAAUUCCACGUGUAGCGGUGAAAUGCGUAGAGAUGUGGAGGAACACCAGUGGCGAAGGCGACUCUCUGGUCUGUUACUGACGCUGAGGCGCGAAAGCGUGGGGAGCGAACAGGAUUAGAUACUCUGGUAGUCCACGCCGUAAACGAUGAGUGCUAGGUGUUAGGGGGUUUCCGCCCCUUAGUGCUGCAGCUAACGCAUUAAGCACUCCGCCUGGGGAGUACGGUCGCAAGACUGAAACU